UACAGAGGUCUCAAGCGUUGUUCGGAUUCAUUGGGCGUAAAGGGUGUGUAGGUGGCGCCGUAAGUCGGGUGUGAAAUUCCGGAGCUUAACUCCGAAACUGCAUUCGAUACUGCGGUGCUUGAGGACUGGAGAGGAGACUGGAAUUUACGGUGUAGCAGUGAAAUGCGUAGAUAUCGUAAGGAAGACCAGUGGCGAAGGCGGGUCUCUGGACAGUUCCUGACACUGAGGAGCGAAAGCGUGGGGAGCGAACAGG
rnacentral:rRNA from 1 species